rnacentral:misc_RNA from 1 species
GGAAGGAUCAUCAACAAAUCCAACCAAAACCACACACACCUUAUUGUGAACUGUUUGUUCUCCUCUUUGUCCUCUUAACCAACCCUUUCCCUCGGGAGGGGGGCGGAGCGGGGGACAAAGGAGAAACUUUCCAACCCAAUUUAUUCACCCCAUACCAAUUCUCGUAAAUCGAGCCUAAGUUUUACGUUUUUUCUUUUGUUUCCUUUCCUUUUAACCAAGGAGAAGAACUAAGAAAAAAAGUUAUGUAUGAAAAUUAAGACACAACUUUUAACAACGGAUCUCUUGGCUCUCGCAACGAUGAAGAACGCAGCGAACUGCGAUACGUAGUGUGAAUUGCAGAAUUCCGUGAAUCAUCGAAUCUUUGAACGCACCUGGCGCUUCCGGGUAUUCCCGGGAGCACGCCUGUCUGAGUAUCAUUACCCUUCUCUUCGCAACUCUCCCGCCUUAUUAUGAGGUCGGGGGCCGAGCAAAGGAGCUUGACGUUUCUCGUUUUCGCAAGAAAGCGCGUGCGUUAAAAAACAAUGAAAUUCGUGGUUGCCUACGGUCACAACACGACCAAACGGUAAACCAUACCUCCGUUUUUCUGUUUCUCCCCUCCCAAUUCUUUUUGAAUAGGAAGGAUACCAAGUUGAAUGGGAAAAAGAGGCGCGAUAAUUUAUUUUAUACGCCUUUGCUUUUCUUCGGGAAAGAGUCUUCCAUUCUCCAGGAGUUACGGCAAACUCGGGUUUAUAGGUGUGGCUUUGCUGCGUGUUGGUAAGCUAAACCGCAUUUUGCGAUCCUGCAAAAAACAAAUUUCAUGAUCUCAGAUCAGGCGAGAUUACCCGCUGAACUUAAGCAUAUUACUAAGCGGUGGAAAAGAAACUAACUAGGAUUCCCUCAGUAACGGCGAGUGAAGCGGGAACAGCUCAACUUUGAAAUCCGGGAGCAAUCCCUGAAUUGUAGUUUAUAGAGGCGUUUUCUGUGGCACGCCCGGUAGAAAUCCUUUGGAACAGGGUAUCAUAGAGGGUGAGAAUCCCGUCCGUGACCGGGUCCCUUGUGUGCCACUCUGUGAGGCGUCUUCGAAGAGUCGGGUUGUUUGGGACUACAGCCCAAAAUGGGUGGUAAACUUCAUCUAAAGCUAAAUACGGGCGAGAGACCGAUAGCGAACAAGUACCGUGAGGGAAAGAUGAAAAGAACUUUGAAAAGAGAGUUAAACAGUACGUGAAAUUGUUAAAAGGGAACCGCUUGGACCCAAUAAGGGCACGCCGGUAAAUCAGCCGCACGGGCGGCGUCUUCCGUGGCGCGUGGUGAGCGGGGACCUCCCUGCCACCUGUGUUUCGUCAAGGCGUCGUGUGCGGUGCACUUUGCCGGUGGCGCCGGCCAGCAUCGGUUCUUUCCUGUCGGACGCGGCCGUGGUGAAGGUAGGUUCCUUCGGGAACUGUUAUAGCACCGCGGUAGUUGGCACGUGCGGGAGGGACCGAGGUUUUUCUCUUCAGCGUGGGUCUCUGGGUCGCCUGUCCUUGGCGGGUUGGCGCACUGGCGGACUGCUUGCAGUCCGUCGGUUCGUCGCCUCCACCGGACAGGGUCGAGUCACACCUUGCGCUCCAGAUGCUGGCGAAAUGGAUUCAAUCGACCCGUCUUGAAACACGGACCAAGGAGUCUAACAGUCAUGCGAGUGUCUGGGUGGUAAACCCGUGCGCGCAAUGAAAGUGAACGUAGGUGGGAUCGCCUCCUUGCGGGGGCGUGCACCAUCGACCGAUCUGGAUAGUCUCUUGAUAGAUUUGAGUCAGAGCAUGCCUGUUGGGACCCGAAAGAUGGUGAACUAUGCCUGCAUAGGGUGAAGCCAGAGGAAACUCUGGUGGAGGCUCGUAGCGAUACUGACGUGCAAAUCGUUCGUCGAAUGUGGGUAUAGCGGCGAAAGACUAAUCGAACCAUCUAGUAGCUGGUUCCCUC